rnacentral:rRNA from 1 species
GGUAUAGUUCUUCGGAAUUAGAGACCGGCGCACGGGUGCGUAACGCGUAUGCAAUCUACCUUUUACAGAGGGAUAGCCCAGAGAAAUUUGGAUUAAUACCUCAUAGUAUAGCAGUUUCGCAUGAAACCACUAUUAAAGUCACAACGGUAAAAGAUGAGCAUGCGUCCCAUUAGCUAGUUGGUAAGGUAACGGCUUACCAAGGCUACGAUGGGUAGGGGUCCUGAGAGGGAGAUCCCCCACACUGGUACUGAGACACGGACCAGACUCCUACGGGAGGCAGCAGUGAGGAAUAUUGGACAAUGGGCGCAAGCCUGAUCCAGCCAUGCCGCGUGCAGGAUGACGGUCCUAUGGAUUGUAAACUGCUUUUAUACAGGAAGAAACCCUGGUUCGUGAACCAGCUUGACGGUACUGUAAGAAUAAGGAUCGGCUAACUCCGUGCCAGCAGCCGCGGUAAUACGGAGGAUCCAAGCGUUAUCCGGAAUCAUUGGGUUUAAAGGGUCCGUAGGCGGUUUAAUAAGUCAGUGGUGAAAGCCCAUCGCUCAACGGUGGAACGGCCAUUGAUACUGUUAAACUUGAAUUAUUAGGAAGUAACUAGAAUAUGUAGUGUAGCGGUGAAAUGCUUAGAGAUUACAUGGAAUACCAAUUGCGAAGGCAGGUUACUACUAAUGGAUUGACGCUGAUGGACGAAAGCGUGGGUAGCGAACAGGAUUAGAUACCCUGGUAGUCCACGCCGUAAACGAUGGAUACUAGCUGUUGGGGGCAAUCUCAGUGGCUAAGCGAAAGUGAUA